rnacentral:rRNA from 1 species
UUGGCUCUCGCAUCGAUGAAGAACACAGCGAAAUGUGAUAAGUAAUGUGAAUUGCAGAAUCCAGUGAAUCAUCGAAUCUUUGAACGCAUCUUGCGCUCCUUGGCAUUCCGAGGAGCAUGCCUGUUUGAGGGUC